GAUGAACGCUGGCGGCGUGCCUAAUACAUGCAAGUCGAGCGAACAGACGAGAACCUUGCUCCUCGGACGUUAUCGGCAGACGUGUGAGUAACGCGGGUAUACCCUCCCUAUAAGACGGGGAACACUUGGAAAAACCGGAUCUAAUCCCGUGUAAUAUAUUAAACCACGUUGUUCAAUAGUGAGAGGCGGUUUUUCUGUCACUUAUAGAUGCUUCCGCGCCUCAUUAGCUAGUUGGUAAGGUAACGGAUUACCAAGGCAACGAUUCGUAGCCGACCUGUGAGGGUGAUCGCCCACACUGGAACUGAGACACGGUCCAGACUCCUAAGGGAGGCAGCAGUAGGGAAUCUUCGGCAAUGGGCGAAAGCCUGCCGGAGCACCCCGGAGUGAGUGAUAAAGGUCUCGGGAUCGUAAAACCCUGUUAUUAGGGAAGAACAAAUGUGUAAGUAAAUAUGCACGUUUUGACGGUAACUAAUCAGAAAGCAACGGCUAACUACGUG
rnacentral:rRNA from 1 species